rnacentral:lncRNA from 1 species
UAGGUUUCAUUUAAUUUAGAGAAUUUCAGAAGAUAUUCCCCUUCACUCCCUGUUCCAGUUGAGAAAAUGGAGCUAUCCAUGCAUGUGCCAAAUCAAAAUACAAGAUUUUGUUGGAUGGUCUUUUCUUGAUUUGUCACCCCAAGACUUUGUUUGUGCCUCUAGACAACAAUAAUUCCGGAGGCGAAUUCCUUGCGGUACGGUUGAGAAAAAUUCUUUAAUGCUGUUGAAGUAUUUCUCCUUAUCUGUAUGAACAUUAUAAUGAUUGGUUGGAAAAUACGCAUAACAAAGAGUGAAUGGAAAAGGAGCAAUGAUCAAAAAGCACCCAAGAUUUUUCCUUAUUUAAACUGUCAUAGUCAAUAUAUUAUAUUUUGUCAACUUUAGCACUUACAAUUCUGAAUAUUUCUAUUGUUUGUGGUUAUUGCAGCCGCUUUUUCAGCAACUAUGGAAAAGAGAUGUGAAGUUGGAAUUCUGAUAGUAUCAAAUGUGG